UUUAUUUGUGGUUCAGGCCUAUAAUCAAGUAAGCCCAGUGUGCCCUGAUAGUUGUAAGAAAAAGUGUCUUCCAGGAAGAGAGAGGAGCAUGAGGACAGGAGUAAUGAGCCAGUCCUGGCACGGAGGGCUGGAUGAUUAGAGGUAAAUCUCCAGAAUCAGAGAAAGUGAAGCUAGUUCUGAAAGACAAAAGAUUAUUCAGUGUUGAAAGUGAAUAAGGUUUGAGGCAACAGUGAAUCCGGAAGAAGACCCUGGUCUGCCUUGACAGGGCACAUGGUGGAAUUCUCCAAGGUGUGGAAUCAAACUACAUGUCCAUCAUCAGGUGAAUGGAUAAGGAAAAGAGUGGAAAUUAGAAGUUUAUUAAAGGACAGCAGAAAAGACUUCUCCCGGAGUAAGAAGGGGACCUAAGAGAUGGAAUCCCUCUACAGUUCUCUAUCCUCAGGAAAAUUGUGUUGAUAUGGAGAGUUUACAUGAAACUGGGAAGCAAAGUCAUGAACCUUUUUCCUGAGUAUCUGGAUUUGAAGUUAGUCCAGGAGUGCUUUUAGAUUGUGAAAAAUUGUGCUGUAAAUGGGUAAUAAUGAGUGUAAUGCAUUCCACUAUU